AAAAAAGAAAAGCAUCUCAGUUUCCUUCCAUUUUACGAACGGCUAAACUUCUAUUUUGACCUGCUGUGGUGUGAUGGGUGGGAGGAGGCCAGAAAGGAUGUCAUACGGGGUAUUACUGCUUCAGUGUGUCCAUUUCGAUCGCAGAUCUGAAGACAUUUCUUCAAAAUGGCAAAUAAGGUGAUUUAUGCAGAGUUAUCACCUGAGCAGAGAGUGCAUUAUACUUCACCGACUGCAAAUGCAGGUGACAAAGUAACCUACGCUGAGGUGAAAAGGAGGCGUAAAUCUGACACCUCGGACAGUGUACCAAAGACUACGCAUCAAACAGCCUGCUCCAAGAAUGCGCAAUGGUGUUACGUUGCCAUCGUCCUGUACUUCCUCGCAGUGAUUCAACUCAUCACUGUGGUCCUCUUAGCACUGAAAUGUUAGCCCUGAGACAGAUGAUAUGGCACUGUUGACAAAUGGGGAAAUUCAGAUCAGAAAGGCUCUGCUUCUUCAAUAAAACAAGACAAAAUAAGACAAGAAUAACUAUGAUGUUUUUUCCUCUGCAUAGAUUUCUAUGGAAGAAGACAUGCCUACAGUCUGACCACUCUUCAGUUACUUCUUCCAGGAUUUUCAUGAAACCUUUAACCUCUCUGUAUAUGGGAAAAUAUAUAUAUAUAUAUAUAUAUAUUAUUGAUGUAAUAAUACCAGCAACCACCACUUGGUAUCAGUGCAUGUAACAAGGCUUUAGCUCAAGCUACUGCAUCAUAAGCUGGAUCUAAGUCUUGCCUACACAAAUGACCAGGAGGACCCUUUGGAAACCUCACUUUUAUUUCACAUGACUUGAAUUUACAGUAAUCUGUCAUGUAGAUAAGCUUUUAGGUUUUGAUAUGAUCAAGUGCAAAAAUACAUGGAUAAAAUAGAGAAUGUAAGUGGUUGCACUAUGUGGGUGUUUUUCUUAGUGAGAUCCAUACCCAUAUGUGAUUUUUACUGUUCUGAUGGGUUUUGAUGAGAUUUAUAAGAGUGGAGUACUGAAGAUGAAGGAACUUAAUUAGUUCAUCAGAGAAGUCUCAGUCUCAUUCCCCCAUAGGAAUGAAUAAAAUUAUUCUGUUCUUCUUGUCCAGAGGAGUGUUUCACAGAGUCACAGUACGUUGGUUCUGUCUUGGAGCAGUAGUUCAUUUUUUCUUUCCAUUCUUUUCCCAAAUGUUGUAGCUUCAGUUAAGUCAGAGUCCUUCAAUAGUGCUAAACCACCUCAGAUUCAAACAAAUUUGUUUGUAAUUAGUAUUUUGGUGUCUGUUUUUCUUUAUUUUGAAUUUUCAUCCAUUAUAAUUCCUCUGAGACAUGCUGUUGUCAAUGAUUUGCAAUUACUGAAUAGAAGGGACUACAUAGUAUAGCAAAUAAUUGUAGAACUGUUCCCUAUGGCUAAGAUUAUCUGUACAUAGGCUAUGUUUUUGCUGUUGUUAAGAUUCUGUGUUUUUAUCAUAUAUUUACCAAAAAUCAGUAAAGGAAUCUAGCAAAGCACUUGACAUACUCAUGUUUAUUCUUACAGUAGUUAGAAAUUUAGCAAGACUAUGACUGUAGCAUUUCUGAGCUUCCAUCAUGAAGAAAGGUGCUAAUCUGAUGAGUCCUUUCUAAAGACAGAAUCCUUGCCUCACAAUGCAAUCAUAGCAGAUCUUUGGGAACUUCAGUGGCAGACCCUACCAUCUGAGAGGUGCAUUGCAUAGACAACUGAGUAAGAAGCGUGCAUGCGA